rnacentral:tRNA from 1 species
GGGGUGGUAGCUCAGUUGGCAGAGCGGUGCGUUCGCAACGCACAGGUCGGGAGUUCAAGUCUCCUCCACUCCACCA